CAAUAGCGUAUAUUUAAGUUGCUGCAGUUAAAAAGCUCGUAGUUGGAUUUCGGGUGGGAAUGGCCGGUCCGCCGUUUCGGUGUGCACUUGCUACGCCCACCUUGCUGCCGGGGACGUGCUCUUGAGUUCACGCUCGGGACACGGAGUCGGCGAGGUUACUUUGAGUAAAUUAGAGUGUUCAAAGCAAGCCUACGCUCUGAAUAUAUUAGCAUGGAAUAACACGAUAGGACUCUGGCCUAUCUUGUUGGUCUGUAGGACCGGAGUAAUGAUUAAGAGGGACAGUCGGGGGCAUUCGUAUUUCAUUGUCAGAGGUGAAAUUCUUGGAUUUAUGAAAGACGAACUACUGCGAAAGCAUUUGCCAAGGAUGUUUUCAUUAA
rnacentral:rRNA from 1 species